AUUACGCCACUUCAGGUAGACUGAUGGAACGAGGUGAAGAGAAGGCUUGGAUCUGUUUUACAUACUAAUUCCAACAGUAUGAGCUCUCCGUAUUUUCAUCAAC